UCCAGCCCAUCUGUCUCUCCCAUUGCUUUCCUUUUUCGACUUCACUAACUGCUCCACGGAGCUCCGCCGAUCUUACAGCAGCAAUGGCCGGAGCAGGAGAAGAUGACGGCGAAGUAGCUCUCCUCCUCCUCCCGCUCCCUCCUCUAGCCCACGGACGCCGCAGGGGCGGAGCACCGCCACGGCGUCGGCGACGAGCCUUCCUUUCAGGGAGAUUCAACCUGUUGAAGUUGGAAAAUGCUCUGGACGUUCCACUGUAAUCUGUGUUUUUAUGGCCCCAGUGAUCUGGAUUAUCACACUGAUGAACAAUCCAUUGAUGAUUUUCUCAAAUAAAACGAGCUAAGUUCCUUGAGGCAUAGUGUGAUAGGUAUUGAUAAGUUAUGCAUCAGGUGUGGCUUGCACAAAGAGGACUUUGAUCAUCUUGACAGCUGGAUUGGCUUUGCUGCUUCAUCAAAAACAAAGCAAAGAUCAUAUCUUUUGACCCGAAGAUACUUAUUCGCCAUCCGAAGAAGUUCAUGUUCAUCACUUUCGUCUUGAGGCCUUGGGUGUUCAAGGCAGAUCUUGUGUGUAGUUCUUGUUUCUCGCUGCUGUUUCUAUAAAGCCACACUCAGGUAUAUAUGGAUUAAGUAUACCACGCUAACUUGACAAACUUCGACAUUUACUAAUUGACAGAAUGAAUGUUGAGAUGGUUGAGUUUCAUGCUGCCGAUCUUUGCUCAUUUUUAGUAGGAAGGACAAGAGAUCCCUAUAGUACUUCAUGGGUGCUCCAAAUUAGAGAAGGCUACGAUAAUGUUCAGAGGCAGCAAUGGACUGGCCCCUGUAUUCACUUUAGUUCCAAGCAUUUUGCCAGUGAAGAUACUAAUUGUGCAAGCUUAUAUACAUGGAUAUGAGCAGAAUCUGACAACACCACCACAUGGCACGUUUAUGCAUUUGAGCCAUAUGACUUGUCAAUUAAUUGUCUUCUCUGGACAACCAAAUGCCCAUAAUGGAAUUCUUCAACUUGCCCGCUGCUUGGAUGUUGCGCCCCGACUGGUGAAGUUGCAUUUGGAUAUGGUAUAUCUGAACCUUGACGACGGUGGGAGUGAUGAGGUGAUGGAGGAGGAGGAAGUGGUGAAUGCUCAAACAAAGUUUGGCGUCGACCGCGCCGAUGGUGGUAUCGUAUAUUCAUAUGUAAUACUGAUGAUGGUGGGUGCUGUAAGCCAGUUCGCCGGGUUUCUUGAGAGUCUGUCGUGCAAAGAGAUAAUGAUGUCAGUGUGAUGGUUAAACUCGCUGUGUUUUAUUUUUCUGGGGCAACUAUCACACUCAACACACAUCUUUAAGUCUAUGAUAUAUACUCCCUCCGUUCCUAAAUAUAAGUCUUUCUAGUGAUUCCACCAGGUGGACUAUAUACGGAGUAAAAUGAAUGAAUCUACACUUAAAAUGCAUCUAUAUACAUCCGUAUGUGGUUCAUAGUGAAAUGUCUACAAAGACUUAUAUUUAGGAAUGGAGGGAGUAGAAGGAACCUGGCUGUACUGACUGUUCUUGCUGUAUCAUGAUUCAUGAACCACUUGUCUGGCUCUACCGACAGUCCUUGCUGUAUCACGAAGUGAAUCACUGAUAUGUUCAGCUAUAUGAUUGCAAAUAGAUUAUGUGGUAGGAGAAGCUCAAAAAUGAUUCAGAUGUAUGACUAUAUAAAUACAUUAUGUGGCUAAAGAAGUUCGAAAAUAUAACUGCAGAUUAUUUCUGAUAAUACAUAGAAGGAAAUUCUGUAGGCAAAAAAAAUAAAAAGAAUUUUUUGUGUCU